rnacentral:rRNA from 1 species
CAGCCGCCGCGGGAAUACGUAGGGUGCAAGCGUUAAUCGGAAUUACUGGGCGUAAAGCGUGCGCAGGCGGUUAUAUAAGUCAGAUGUGAAAUCCCCGGGCUCAACCUGGGAACUGCAUUUGAGACUGUAUGGCUAGAGUGUGUCAGAGGAGGGUAGAAUUCCACGUGUAGCAGUGAAAUGCGUAGAUAUGUGGAGGAAUACCGAUGGCGAAGGCAGCCCCCUGGGAUAACACUGACGCUCAUGCACGAAAGCGUGGGGAGCAAACAGGAUUAGAUACCCCAGUAGUCCCUGUCUCUUAUAC